rnacentral:rRNA from 1 species
AUGGGACAUCUGUACAAUCCACAUAUGAAGAUAAGGAAGAAAGAGAUGUUUAUUUGCUGUCCAAAUAGUUCUCUCACGUCACUUUUGGCCCAAGAGAAGAUAGAGUCCAAGUCUCUCACGUUCUGGAUUCAGAUUCGGACUGCACAGACACACCUGACUCAAAACAGACACAAGUUUUUCAUACGGAUUCCGAAUUGGGUGAUUCUUUUUUUGUUGGAAACUAGAUUUCGUGCACUUUCCAACCCAAUUGGAAUCACCUUCAAAUUCGUCUGGAGCGUUGAGUUGUGGACGAAACAAUCUGAUGCUACAGCAGAAUCCGAGUCAAACUACAAGUCCAAAGGUGUUACAUCACCUCCACUUGGGCCCAUUGGCCUUGUAUGA